UACAGAGGUCCCAAGCGUUGUUCGGAUUCAUUGGGCGUAAAGGGUGCGUAGGCGGCGCGGUAAGUCGGGUGUGAAAUCUCGGGGCUUAACUCCGAAACUGCAUUCGAUACUGCCGUGCUUGAGGACUGGAGAGGAGACUGGAAUUUACGGUGUAGCGGUGAAAUGCGUAGAUAUCGUAAGGAAGACCAGUGGCGAAGGCGGGUCUCUGGACAGGUCCUGACGCUGAGGCACGAAAGCGUGGGGAGCAAACAGG
rnacentral:rRNA from 1 species